CAGCAGGUGUGACGCGCCGGGCCUGGUGUGCGCCUCGGUCCAUUGUCCUGCCGCACACACGCCCCGCUCCCCGGAGAAUAGCCUCCUCUCCCCGGCCGCGCCAAUCCCACGACAGAAAACUCGCAACAAAAGGUAGCUAAGAGUUGGCCUUGCAUGCCCGAAAACAUCCAUCCAUCUUUCUAUCCAUCUGGAGUCAUCCAUUAGCAUUUCAGAAGAACAGCAUCCAAUCAACGUCUUUGCAAUGCCACGAACUGUCCAUUCAAAUUCCCUCUGACUCCAAUAACACUUAUCUUAAAGCGUUCCUUUAGUCUGCCUUCAAUACCCAUGCAAAAUAUCAUUCAACCUCAAAAUUGCAUUGAAUGUAAAAAUGAAAGACCUGAUAAUGUCCUUGACUGGAACAAGAGAGGAUUUUUUUCUGCACUUGGGUCAGUAUAUUUGAAUAACAUAGAGCUCAAAGCUUGAUUCUCUAACUUCAACUUUCCUCUGGCGAAUUUAGUUGAUAUGUAAAAUAUUAAUUCAGUUAUCUUCUGGAUACAUGCUUCGGCAAGUACAUGCAGCCUCAUUUAAAUUCCAAAACCAGUCAUUAAAUGGAUAGUUCACUGA